rnacentral:lncRNA from 1 species
UAGGGAUUAAGGUUAGGGUUGAGGUAACUGUAGGGAUUAAGGUUAGGGUUAGGGUAACAGUAGGGAUUAAGGUUAGGGUUAGGGUAACAGUAGGGAUUAAGGUUAGGGUUAGGGUAACAGUAGGGAUUAAGGUUAGGGUUAGUUUAGGGACAUCCCAAGGAUCCCAGAUAGCACUGACCCAAGGUUUACAGUAACAAGGAAGUGCUGGUCGGUGACUGUUGGGUCAGAGUAGGGAAAUCACUUCAGUUUAAAUGGGUAUAAAAUACAGGAUAUACUGUAUGUAAUGUAGGC